UACGUAGGGUGCGAGCGUUGUCCGGAAUUACUGGGCGUAAAGAGCUCGUAGGUGGUUUGUCGCGUUGUUCGUGAAAACUCACAGCUUAACUGUGGGCGUGCGGGCGAUACGGGCAGACUGGAGUACUGCAGGGGAGACUGGAAUUCCUGGUGUAGCGGUGGAAUGCGCAGAUAUCAGGAGGAACACCGGUGGCGAAGGCGGGUCUCUAGGCAGUAACUGACGCUGAGGAGCGAAAGCGUGGGGAGCGAACAGG
rnacentral:rRNA from 1 species